AGAUUUUCGAAUCCGAGCUGAGAUUUCGUCAGACAUCAACCCAUUAGGGCUGAUCAAACUUCCAAGAUAAGUGAAGUU
rfam:Schistosoma mattheei strain Denwood, Zambia genome assembly, scaffold: SMTD_contig0005680